AGACGAGUGGCGAACUGGUGAGUAACACGUGGGUCACCUGCCCUUGAAGUAGGGGAUAACACUUGGAAACAGGUGCUAAUACCGUAUAACAACCAAAACCACCUGGUUUUGGUUUAAAAGACGGCUUCGGCUGUCACUUUAGGAUGGACCCGCGGCGUAUUAGCUUGUUGGUAAGGUAACGGCCUACCAAGGCGAUGAUACGUAGCCGACCUGAGAGGGUAAUCGGCCACAUUGGGACUGAGACACGGCCCAAACUCCUACGGGAGGCAGCAGUAGGGAAUCUUCCACAAUGGACGAAAGUCUGAUGGAGCAACGCCGCGUGAGUGAUGAAGGGUUUCGGCUCGUAAAACUCUGUUGUUGGAGAAGAACAGGUGUCAGAGUAACUGUUGACAUCUUGACGGUAUCCAACCAGAAAGCCACGGCUAACUACGUGCCAGCAGCCGCGGUAAUACGUAGGUGGCAAGCGUUGUCCGGAUUUAUUGGGCGUAAAGCGAGCGCAGGCGGUUUUUUAGGUCUGAUGUGAAAGCCUUCGGCUUAACCGGAGAAGUGCAUCGGAAACCGGGAGACUUGAGUGCAGAAGAGGACAGUGGAACUCCAUGUGUAGCGGUGAAAUGCGUAGAUAUAUGGAAGAACACCAGUGGCGAAGGCGGCUGUCUGGUCUGUAACUGACGCUGAGGCUCGAAAGCAUGGGUAGCGAACAGGAUUAGAUACCCUGGUAGUCCAUGCCGU
rnacentral:rRNA from 1 species